AACGCACAUUGCGCCCCCUGGCAUUCCGGGGGGCACGCCUGUUUGAGAACCUCUGCGUAACUCACCUCCGCGCAUUCACCCGGGCUGGACCCCGGGGGGGAGGGCUGCGGGGGUGGACUUGGACCGUCACGUCGUCGUCGGACGGUCGUGCGGUCUGAAAAUUCGAAUCCUCGUCCCUCAGGUUUUUUGAGCGGGCCGCGAGCGAAAGACGUGAUCAGUAUGGGUGCAGGGCAUCCGUUCGAGUCGUCGGCGAGCUCCGGUCAAGGUCUUCUUGCGACGCCUUUUCGAAGGCGGAGCCAGGCCGCGCAAACAGACGGAGGGGGGCUGUGAGAAGGCGUCCAAACGUGCCAGGCGGCGUCGACGGAGAGAUUCGUCGCGCCGAAGACCUGAACCUUUGGUCUCAAAUCAGACGAGAGCACCCGCUGAACUUAA
rnacentral:misc_RNA from 1 species